rnacentral:rRNA from 1 species
CCUACGGGAGGCAGCAGUGAGGAAUAUUGGUCAAUGGCCGGAAGGCUGAACCAGCCAAGUCGCGUGAGGGACGACUGCCCUAUGGGUUGUAAACCUCUUUUAUAAGGGAAGAAUAAAUGAUACGUGUAGCAUGAUGCCUGUACCCUAUGAAUAAGCAUCGGCUAACUCCGUGCCAGCUGCCGCGGUAAUACGGGGGAUGCGAGCGUUAUCAGGAUUUAUUGGGUGUAAAGGGUGCGUAGGGGGUUUUUUAAGGUAGUGGUUAAACGUCGGGGCUUCACCUUGAUUUGCCAUUAAUACUGUAAGACUCGAGUUCAGACGAGGUAGGCGGAAUAAGUUAAGUAGCGGUGAAAUGCUUAGAUAUAA